rnacentral:rRNA from 1 species
UACGGAGGGUGCGAGCGUUGUCCGGAAUCACUGGGCGUAAAGGGCGCGUAGGCGGCGCGGAAAGUCAACGGUGAAAGCUUGGGGCUCAACCCCGAGUCGGCCGUCGAUACUUCCGUGCUCGAGCACUGUAGAGGCAGGUGGAAUUCCGGGUGUAGCGGUGGAAUGCGUAGAGAUCCGGAAGAACACCGGUGGCGAAGGCGGCCUGCUGGGCAGUAGCUGACGCUGAUGCGCGAAAGCGUGGGGAGCAAACAGG